rnacentral:ncRNA from 1 species
GCCGCUACUCCACAUAAUAGCGGCGCAUGCGUCUGAAGAAAAGGAGGAAUUCAAUUUCCGCAGCGACUUGCGGUGCGGCAGUGUGGAGACCUGUCGUAAUGCGGUUCGCCUAUGGCGGCUGCGAGACUGUUUCGGCGGAGGCCGGGCAGUCAGAGUCGGGAGUGUAUGGCA